rnacentral:tRNA from 1 species
AGGAGUCUCAGAGGAAGCUGCUAACUACCUCAAAGCAAUAUAUAUUGUUAGACACC